rnacentral:lncRNA from 1 species
AUGUUCCACCAGAUCAUCAGUCAGAGGAUCUGAACUUGAUCCCCCUUUUUUGUAUUUACUGGAGCUGGAGGUACUAGAGCAGCACUGUAUCUCUUGUGUCUGGCAUUGUUCAAUCCAGAUGUUAGUUGGGACAGAAAGAAUAACCCAGAGCCCUGGAACAAACUGGGUCCCAAUGAUCUAUACAAGUUCUACUCAGUGAAUGUGGAUUACAGCCAACUGAAGAAAGAAGGUCCAGAUUUCUAA